CCUUCAUCGAUCACUUUAGGGUUGAAAAGCUGGGUAGUAGAGCCCAGAAGGCAUACAUAGAAAUAUAACAAGACAGGAAACACAUGCUGGGGGGCCAACGGGAGAGAAGAAGUUCAGGGAAGAAGUUCUGAAAGGGUUCAGAGGAGCAAGGGGCUGCCAAGGCAGUGCUUAAUCUGGACCUGAAAGGGAAAAUGGGCACCAACUGAGGGGAAGAAAGGGCCAGGAAAACUGUGCAAAAGGCAGGAAGCUGUGCAAGGCACACAAGGGAUGGCAAUCAAACCAGUAUGACCAGAUAUUGCAGGGGUAUUAGUAGAGAUCAGUUGGUACAGGUGAUUAGCAGCAAAUACAGCCCUGAAUGGCAGCAACGCUGACUGCUUAUAGGAAAGAAAACAGUCUUUUCUUUUCCCAGAGAUCCUGCCUGAGUCCCCAGAAUGGACACUAAAAACCUUCCAGGAGGUGGACACUGUGAAAAAUAGUUUCCUCCUUCCUCUCUGCUCUCCACUGCUCAGCUCCCCUCUCCCUCCCGCCUACGUACCCAGCCCAACUCCCUAGAACUGACCAGUUUUCCCUCUUCAUCUCUCCAUCCUCUUGUAAAUGGUGAGCUACUUCUGAGAAGAGGCCUGUAUUUGUCCAGCUGUCUCUGGAUGGGCAGGUUUAAUUUUCUGAGCAAAGGGGUAUUAAACCCAGUUGUCAAACCCAGCAUUACUGGUAGUAAUAGAUAUUUUGCUCCUUUUGUCUCACUCCUUGGUAUAUCUGAGUUGGUUUGGAGCACUGAAGGAGAGGAAGCAUAAUUCAUCUCCUGCUUAAAAUCCUCAAAUCUCAAAGUCUGGAAGAUAUAUAGAUAGAUUACAGAUAUCAAUAUCAAUAUAUAGAUAUAUAGAUAUAGCUGCUAGUAUUAUUUGUCUUUACAACAAAAUGUAAAGGGGAUGUUACAAUGGGUCAAUAGUAAUAAAUCUUAAUUUCUUAGCCAUGUGAAGCUUAAGAACUUAAUUUUUUUUUCUUUUCAAUAACAUACAGAUAGCACAGGAUUUAAAAGGAAUAGAAUAGGGUAAAAAAUCUUCCUCCUCUCUAACCCUCCAGGUACCCAGUUCUCCCCAUAGGUGACCAUUAUUAAUCACUUUCUUAUUUAUCCUUCUAUGAUUAUUCAAUUUGUAUACAAGCAGAUAUGUGUACUUUAAUUAAAAGCUGGAAUUCUAGACAUACUGCUAUAAGCCUUGCUUUUUCAUUUAACCUGUCUUGUAGAUUAUUCCGUAUUAUUCCUUAAGGAAUAUUCCUUAAGGAAUAUUUCCCAUUAUUCCUUAUCAGCCGUUGUCAGACUCAGUGGAAUCCCAUUAUAUGGCUGUGCUAUAACAAUCAAGUCCUUACUGCUGGACAUUCAAAUUGUUUUUAACCUUAUGUUAUUAAAAAUAAUGCUUUCAUGACUAGUAGGUGUGCAAAGUAACAAAGAUCAGGUAACUCUAGGUACCACUUUCAUUGCAUUGCCCUAUUUACCAGGCUUGAACUUUGCAGUUCCUCCCCAGUUUCUGUUCUAGUCAUGGCCACUAGCAUUCACCUGCUGUCUCAGCAGGUACAAAGUAUAAGCAGAGAUAUUAGGUGUAGAAAUUGUCAUACUUAAUGUCUUGAAUUCUCUCAGAGAUUUAAAAGAAUUAUAAAGGAAACAAACGCAGGUGGCAGUUGACCUACUUAAAUCUCUGGUAUCACUCUGGGGCUACUAAAAUAGAAGUGACAUGGAACACAAGGGAAGAGAGUCAUAAAGUAUGUGCUAUAUAUGGUACAUAUAAAAUAAUCACGCCAACUUAAAAUCAAUCUUUUGAACAAUUUUUAAAUUUGGGAGCUAUUUUAAUUGCACAGUAGAAUACAACCAACGUAAGUUAAAGCAAAUUUAUGCUUCCUUUUUAUUUUUCCUUUACUUAGGCCUUGCUUUCCUAGUAUCCUCCCAAGUAAGGGCCCUUCUAGUACCAUUUUGCCAUGCUAGCAGUUUCUUCUUUUUAUUCAUGCUUAUGUCUCCAAAUUAUCCCUUCUCUCCCAAAUAAAGUUCUUUUCCCUGUGUACCUAAUUUUUUAUUUAUUCUCACAAAUAAAGGAUUUGAUGGAUUUUCACCUGAGUGGCUAAUUUUUUUUUAAUCUCCUAGAAGUACUUAAGAUUUUUAACAGCAAGAGCAGGUGAGUGCUAGAUACUAAUUUACAUGCAUUUUAAUUUAAAUAUUGGGAGUAGAAUAAGGGCCCAUAGACUAACAUAACAUGCCCAGUGAUACAGCAGAACCAGAGUUUGGAUGCAGAGCUACUUAACUCCAAAAUCUACACUUUCCCCACUUCUCAUCAAUGUUCAAACAUUUUUGUUUGAAAACCCCUAAGCUAACUUUCAAAAUUAUGUACCCUCACAAAGUUUUAAAUUGACAUUUAAUUUUUUUUUCAUCUUAAUAGUUGCAUUGCCCUCACCCAUCCCAAACAGCAUGAAAAUGGGCUUUCAGCCUAGCAGUGUGCACCAGGGAAAGGAGAAAAUGGAUUAAACAGGUUGACAUCUCUGCUACAAGUUUUAUUGGAAAUGCAUGUCUUGAGAAGAAUUAUGAUCCAACUUUUUAAGGAAAUCUAAUGAAAGAGAAUGUUUUAAUUUGCUAAAAACAAAUUUCUCUGGCAGCUAUUUAAAAAUAUUUCUUGUAAAUAGGAAGUAGGAAAUUUUAAACAUUUUAUCAGAUGACAUAAGAUGAGGACAGUAAUCAUAUUUUGUAUGACUUGAUAAAAACAUGUCUUUUCAUUAACACACUGAACAAGCAAAAUAAACAAACCCUUACUCUUAACAAGUAUUUUUAAAGACAAAUUCAGUAAAUCUUGAAUUUAUGAGAACUCGGUGAAUCAUUAAAGAAGGCUUCACCUUUGUGUGGCCCAUAUGGUUUUCACAUCUAGAGAUAUGUGCGAUGGGUGAGGGCAAUGCCAUUUCUUAUAAAAUGGGAGACAGUGUAUUAUCAGAGAAAUCAAUUUUACAAAAGAUUACUUGUGGUAGUUGAGAAUCUGGAAAUUGAUUCCUUUAAGAUGAUUUAUGCCUAGGUAAACUUCUCUGAAAGUAUUUAUGUGCUCCUGGGCAUACCCCCAAUUUGAGUAUCGCUGUGUUACACCAUACUACCUUGACAACACAAGGAAGUUUCUAAAGUGUUUUUGUCAAACUUGGGAGAUAUAUUUAUGCCUCCCUUUACCCUUAGAUUAUAUGCUCUGUUUCAUGAGAAAAAAGUCGUGAGAGGCAAUGAGUGGCAGUGGGGGGUAGGGGUCACUGGAGUGUCACUGAGCCUGGGAGAGGCCAUGGGUCAUGGAAAGGCAGUUUCUCAUAUCCUGCUCAGGGACUGGAUAUUUAUGGUGAAGCAAAAGUAAUAUAGUGGUGAUGCUGGAAAAACAUAAUCAGCAAA
rnacentral:lncRNA from 1 species